AGAGUUUGAUCAUGGCUCAGGAUGAACGCUGGCGGCGUGCCUAACACAUGCAAGUCGAGCGAUUCUCUUCGGAGAAGAGCGGCGGACGGGUGAGUAACGCGUGGGUAACCUGCCCUGUACACACGGAUAACAUACCGAAAGGUAUGCUAAUACGAGAUAAUAUACUUUUAUCGCAUGGUAGAAGUAUCAAAGCUUUUGCGGUACAGGAUGGACCCGCGUCUGAUUAGCUAGUUGGUAAGGUAACGGCUUACCAAGGCGACGAUCAGUAGCCGACCUGAGAGGGUGAUCGGCCACAUUGGAACUGAGACACGGUCCAAACUCCUACGGGAGGCAGCAGUGGGGAAUAUUGCACAAUGGGCGAAAGCCUGAUGCAGCAACGCCGCGUGAGCGAUGAAGGCCUUCGGGUCGUAAAGCUCUGUCCUCAAGGAAGAUAAUGACGGUACUUGAGGAGGAAGCCCCGGCUAACUACGUGCCAGCAGCCGCGGUAAUACGUAGGGGGCUAGCGUUAUCCGGAAUUACUGGGCGUAAAGGGUGCGUAGGUGGUUUCUUAAGUCAGAGGUGAAAGGCUACGGCUCAACCGUAGUAAGCCUUUGAAACUGGGAAACUUGAGUGCAGGAGAGGAGAGUGGAAUUCCUAGUGUAGCGGUGAAAUGCGUAGAUAUUAGGAGGAACACCAGUUGCGAAGGCGGCUCUCUGGACUGUAACUGACACUGAGGCACGAAAGCGUGGGGAGCAACAGGAUUAGAUACCCUGGUAGUCCACGCCGUAAACGAUGAGUACUAGCUGUCGGAGGUUACCCCCUUCGGUGGCGCAGCUAACGCAUUAAGUACUCCGCCUGGGAAGUACGCUCGCAAGAGUGAAACUCAAAGGAAUUGACGGGGACCCGCACAAGUAGCGGAGCAUGUGGUUUAAUUCGAAGCAACGCGAAGAACCUUACCUAAGCUUGACAUCCUUUUGACCGAUGCCUAAUCGCAUCUUUCCCUUCGGGGACAGAAGUGACAGGUGGUGCAUGGUUGUCGUCAGCUCGUGUCGUGAGAUGUUGGGUUAAGUCCCGCAACGAGCGCAACCCUUGCCUUUAGUUGCCAGCAUUAAGUUGGGCACUCUAGAGGGACUGCCAGGGAUAACCUGGAGGAAGGUGGGGAUGACGUCAAAUCAUCAUGCCCCUUAUGCUUAGGGCUACACACGUGCUACAAUGGGUGGUACAGAGGGCAGCCAAGUCGUGAGGCGGAGCUAAUCCCUUAAAGCCAUUCUCAGUUCGGAUUGUAGGCUGAAACUCGCCUACAUGAAGCUGGAGUUACUAGUAAUCGCAGAUCAGAAUGCUGCGGUGAAUGCGUUCCCGGGUCUUGUACACACCGCCCGUCACACCACGGGAGUUGGGGGCGCCCGAAGCCGGAUUGCUAACCUUUUGGAAGCGUCCGUCGAAGGUGAAAUCAAUAACUGGGGUGAAGUCGUAACAAGGUA
rnacentral:rRNA from 1 species